AUGUCUCUGUGGGAUUUUGGAGACGGAGGAAAAGGAAGCAGGGGCUGAGUUUGUGCGCGCUGGUGUCUAUUGCCUUUGGGUGGGUGACGUAGUGUGACCAAUGCCCACGAGGUGGCGACAAACGACCUCCUGGCCGGAGGACUGGAUGGAUGCAAAGAGGUGGGUGAAAUGGGUUUGCUUUCUGUCCUAACCCGAAGGAUAACCACUUACUGGAUGCUGACCACGUGGCAGGCACGCCCAGAAGUGCUGUUUAUACAUUAACUUACUGAUUUAUCUUUGCAGCAAUCCCUUGAGUCUUACAAAAGAUAAGGAACUGGUUUGCCCCAGGUCACAUACUUGGUGGUUGGCAGAGCUGACAUUUGACCUCCUCUGUGACUGAGGACACGGGGCUGUGAUCUUAUGUACUACACUCUCCUGGACCCUAAAGGAAAUACCCUAUUAAUUCGGGGAAGAAGUUGAAUGGCUCAAACUAUGUCUCACCCUCACUGAGGUCUGUAGCUCCCUUCAUCCUUCAUCGUCAUAAAAUAAAGGAGUCCAGAAAGACCAGGGACUUAGAAUCCGAGAGUUAGAGAAGUCUUGACCAUCUACUCCAGGCACCCAUUCAAUAUAGGACUUUUUCAGGCACAGGCCUGAAGGAGGAUAAGAUAGUCUCUGCUAGAUCUCUUCUGGGGCCAGGAUGUCAAAUGAAGAUGGCAUGGUUCCCUCUCUGUCUUCCCAUGGUCACCUUCCUCUCCAAGAAGGGAAAUUCAGAAGAAUGAGACCGGAAGGAAGAUUCAUAGCCCCUGUUCAUCAAAGCAUUUGUCGGGAACACCAUGCAUAUGAUGCUGCCUCUCCCCAUCCUCCAGGGCCUCCCUGUGAUGUGUGUGAGGAGCAUUCCAGAAGCCCGGGUGCACGACUGGCCAGUAUUUUCUGCCUUCCACGUUCCGCAUCCUGCCUGCUGCCCAUCCCCUCUGUAGCCCACCAAGCCCCUCGGAUGCCUCAUCUACAUUCUGAUCCCAUUUUUGUCUAAUUUAAAAUUUAAUUACUCAAGUGAUACCAUCUCCAUAGCCUUUAAAGACAAAAUUUCAUAGACAACACUUAGGCCCCCUUAGACGACUCUCCCUUGUCCAGAGGCAGAAUGGUGCAGUGGUUGAGGUGUGUAUUUCCAGAUGUUUUUCGAUGUUUUUAUACACAUAUAUGUGCCCGUAGAGAAUACGUGGCAUUUUCGCUGCAUGUGGCCAUUUUUCACAUAAAUGGCAUCUUACAUUUAUUUAUAUUUUGUAAAAUUCCUGGAGAUCUAUCCCUGUGAGCCCACCUGGAUGAGCCUCGCUCUGGUUAAUGGUGGCUACUUCUCUGUAGUAUGAAUCCAUCACUGUUUAUUUGACUGCUGCCCUUUGGAUAGGCGCUAGAUUGUUCCAGGGUUGAGGUUUACAAACGCUGUUUACCGAACAACUGGAGGACACGUCCUUAUGCACGUGCGUGAAUUGCUUCCACUGGUGGCAUUUUCUUGUCAGAGUCACGCAGUAAGAUUACGAUGGGAGCUGUGGUUCCUCCAGAGAUUCUCAAGCACCAGCCCCUGAGAGGCAUUUGCACAACAAACUUGGAGCUCCGUAGUCUCAUUCCCAUUUUAGGGGUGAGAAAACUGAGGUUUAAAGAGGCGCAGUGGGUCAGCCUUGAAAUCCCACUUAAUGUUCCUCCUCCUACCAGUCCCUUGUGCCGAGUCCUUUCCUUCCAGCUCUGCCGUGAAUUUCGUGACAGCGGGAACUACUCGCCUAUUCCCUUUCAUUCUCUACUAUGUCCUGGAUACACAAUAAAUCUCAAUAAAACUUGAUUGAUUAUUUGGAA
rnacentral:lncRNA from 1 species